rnacentral:sRNA from 1 species
UCUCCCGAUCUUUGGGUCAUACCACUUACACUUAAAAAGUGUGAUCCUCAAAUUGACGAUACCCUCAUACACGAGUUCUAUAAUAUCAGUUAAGGUACCGUAGAAAUCCGCUUCAUCAGAUGAAUCAGCGUAAUUUUCACCUUUAACACAGACCCCAUAGUUACAUGUCUUUCGUCCAGCGCUGUGAUUUUGCGUAUGAAACAAAUAUCCUCUUGUGAAAUACAUUGGCCAAGUUUUAACCUUGUUCAAAGGUCCUUGCACUAUCU